GUAAGCUUUAUUGUUGGGUUCGAGAUAAAGACUCAUCUGUUCUCUGCACAUUUUUUCUCUCUUCUUCGAUACGACUCCUCUUCAUUUUCAUCCUCUCACCUCGCCACCAUAAUAAGGCGACUUCUACCGCCUCCACCUUCACCCUCAUUUCUCAAUUUCCUUGGUCUCCCUUUGAUUUGUUCGUACAUAAAUUUCCACAAAAUUUCCUAAUUUUUACUCUUUCUUGCGAGAAGCCGCUUCCUGCCAACAUCAGCAUCGUUCACCGGCGAUAGCAGCAGCACCAUCGCCCUUUCCUUCCUCUCCUGCUUCAUCGGACAACUGCGGUCAGUCGUGUCACCUCCGCCUCUCUGCUUGGUCGACGAGCAACGACAACCAUUGGGCUGCCGUUGUCGCCGUCUUCUUGAUUUUCAUCUCUGCUGAAUUUUCAUUUAUAUGUUCCAUUUUUACUUGAUUAAAUCAUUCAAUUUUAUCUGCUUGAUUUUUAUUGUGAUUUGCUCUGUGAUUCAGGACUGCGGAACAAGUCUAUUUAGGUGAGCAAAGUGUGUGUGUGUUUUUUGGGUAUCUGCCAUCGUGAUUUCUACCGCUGGCGGCAACAGCAGCAGCACCAUCGUGCUCUCCUUCCUCUCAUGCUUCAUCUGACAGCCGCGCUCAUCCAGAUCGCCGUCGUGUAGCCUCCGCCUCCGUCGACGAGCAACAGCAACCAUUGUGCCCCUGGCGCCGGCAAUGUCUCUAUCUUUCCCCGUGUGCUUGAUUUUAGCCUUAUUUGGACUGCGGUUCUGCAUCUGCGGUUCUCAUUUUUGUCUGUGGGCUUCAUUUUCUUGCCCUUGAAUUCAAUUUGGCAGAUCUGAUUCUUGAACUAGGGCUUCGAAACGUAUCUUAAAGGAACUAAAGAAUUUGCAGAAAGAUCCUCCCACUUCCUGCAGCGCAGUACAUGGGGUGAAGCAAUAAAGAGCUUUUGUGGUUGUGGAAUGGUCCUCAAGAAUGGAAGAGAGCUGAAGGAAUGAAAGAGGAACUUGGCUUUAAACAUUAACUGCCCCCUCUUGAUUCUAUUUGAACUAAAUUCCUCGAUUGAGUAUGUGGACUUUAAAAACUGUACAUUCCAGGUGAAUUCUCUCCAUGAACUCUGUUCUCUCAUUUUUCUUGAACAGAUUGCCUGUAUCAUUUCUGAAAAAUGAUAUUUUUGAUGCUUACCGAGUUCAUUGGCUGCA